rnacentral:lncRNA from 1 species
CAACCGUGGGUUUUGCUGAUUUUGCGAUUCACAAAGGUGGUUUCAAAUGAAACCAUGGUUUCAACCGUGGGUUUUCGGCAUGAUUUUGAGUCAACUGUUUUAGGUGGUUUCAAACCGUGGGUUUUAGGAAAACCAUGGUUUUUAGGCAGAUUGACCAAUCACAGAACAGUAUUUCGGUACAUUGCUGAGCUAGCUAGCUAGCUGAGCAAGUGCAUAGACGACGAUAAAUAGCUUUGCACGAAAUGAAGAGGAGCAAAGCGUUUAAUAUCGGUAUUUGCCGAGCUGUGAGAACAUCUAAAUUUUUGAAUGGAUGAAAACAUCUUACAACAUUCACAGGCUGUCCUGAGAGACUAUUAAAUGAGGAUUGUUAGAGAGGAAUAUGCCAACAAGAACUGCAAUUAGGAGUCGUUGACAGGAGGAAACUUUUUAAAAGAGACCACACACUACCUCAUCAACAUGCUUGAAGAUGAUCUGAGCCUGAAGAGGGACAAAGGGCCUCGUGAUAGACUACCUUUCUCUCUGCAAGUAUUGACAAUUCUGCUUUUGUAUGCUGAUAAUUUCAGGGAAUACAUGGUGAUGAGGCAUCAGUGUUGCAAUCAUCUGUUUGUGAGUGAUCAAAGAUGUUUCACAAGCCAUAGCAAGAAGAAAGAGGUUUUGUGAGAACUUCAACAACAAGAGAUGAGAUUGAGGCUACCCAACAACAACUGUAUGAGUGAUUGAUGGGACCCAUGUCUAUACAAGAAUUCCUGGAGGGAAACAAGCCUUGUACUUUCCUGAAGGGCAAGUCCACCCCAACAAAAAGUUUCUUUGAUAUAAUAGAGAAAAGUCCAAUGAGCAUAACACUGAAAAUUUCAUCAAAAUUUGAUGUAAAAUGAGAAAGUUUUGACAUUUUGAAGUUUCGCUUAUUUU